rnacentral:rRNA from 1 species
AUUGAACGCUGGCGGCAUGCCUUACACAUGCAAGUCGAACGGCAGCACGGGAGCAAUCCUGGUGGCGAGUGGCGAACGGGUGAGUAAUAUAUCGGAACGUGCCCAGUCGUGGGGGAGUAACGUAGCGAAAGACUACGCUAAUACCGCAUACGAUCUAUGGAUGAAAGACGGGGAGUCGCAAGACCUCGCGCGAUUGGAGCGGCCGAUAUCAGAUUAGGUAGUUGGUGGGGUAAAAGGACUUACCAAGACCUGCGAUCUGUAGCUGGUCUGAGAGGACGACCAGCCACACUGGAACUGAGACACGGUCCAGACUCCUACGGGAGGGCAGCAGUGGGGAAGUUUUGGUAC